UCACAGCUGUCAGUGGUUCAGCCAAUCAAUGGAUGCAUUUCAACGUAUGAGUAACUUACAAGUAACGUGUGCCAACAAUCGCAUAACUUAUCUACAACU